UGUUGAGCCAAGACUGCAGGGGCGAUGUGUGGCUGUGUGAAGGGAGAGUACUCCAGGUGGAGGGAACAGGAAGUGGGAACGGCCUGAGAGGACAGAAAAGGUCCUUUGCUUGAGGACUGAAGGGAGUCAAGUGAAUAAGGAGGAGCAGCCUAGAGAUCAGGGCAUGACAGUGCUAUGUACCUCUACCUAAAUAUGAUGAUGACUAGUGGAGACUGCUCUCAUGGAUACAUAUGUUGAAGCAUGAAAAGUCUGCAUUCUUAAUGUUUACCACAGACCCAACGGAGCUGAUGAUCGGUCUGAAGACAUAGUUGAAGAUUGUGGACACAAAGAUGCAUUUUAUCAGAGAGAGAAUCUUAAGCAGGCUUCACGCUCAGCAUGGAGU